rnacentral:lncRNA from 1 species
ACGGAAACUCCAGGCUGAGCUUGGACUGACUUCCCUCCUAACCCGUGACAGUAGAGAGGCGGGACCAAUGGAUUCUUUUAUUGCCGCCUUUCUGUCGAACCCGAAUGUAAAGAAAGGUCGGUUGGUUUGCACUGGCCGACAAAUGGUCCAAUUGCCGUGAGAAAAGGGGCCUCUGAAUCCAGAUUGGCGUCGUCUCUACCUAUAGGGUAGACUCAGGGGCGGUGAGAACCAGCCCCGGAUGUGGGCGCGGCCCUGAGGUAGAACUGUGAGAGCCUCUACCGCGGUGGAUUGGGGAGGCGGAACUGAAAUUUUUUUCCUAAUUAUCAUGUGACGGAUUCUGGAUUUAAUGGGGGGAAAAGUGCGGAAAAGGACAAGGAUCCAAACUGGCGAAUUUCCUGAUCUUCGCGCCCGUUUCCGCUCUCCCGCCGGCGGCGUUGCCAGCCUCUUUUAAACUGGUUAAAUGAGAAUGUCCUUGGCUCAGAGAGUACUG